CCAUGACAGACUUUAUUACAUCUAUUGUUAACAUAAUAGCACUAAUCUGAAAAGAAAAAAAAAAACAGAUUUUAAUUCUUUAUUUUUUUUCUUGCAGGCGAUCUAUUCAUUCUUUUUUCCGGGACAUGCCGUCCACCAGCGGCAGCUUAGAUUCACUGAAGCAACCUGACUGGUCAAAAUUGCUGCCUCGGGUUCCCCUGUUUGCAGCCACUUUGAUGAAUCGAUAGCCCAUAGGGACAUGCAGCGGUUCUGAGAAUGUCUGAGCGGAUCUGCUUUUUAACUGCUGAGCUACAAGGUUGUUGCCUGCUGCCCUGCAUUUUCACAGCAGGGCGCAGGGAGGAUCGCCGUGAAUCUUAACACAUUAUUAGAAACGGCUGUUUGACGAUGGGACGACCUCAAGCUGUGUGACCUAUGAAAGUCUCACGUCUGUGUAGGGUGUAAAAGGUGCAAGGCAGGCGAAUUAAAUGAGGCUGAGCCGGUCUGGUUGUCUGCUGUGAUAAUACCUGGUCAGUGGUGGGAAUAUGCCUUUUGUAAAGCCAAAGCACAUUCUGAGUGAGUGAUAUCUGGACUUUGGCAGUGGAUAAGCACCGUGGAUACGGCUGGCACUAUAGAAAGCUUAUACUGACCAGCUGCAUCAGGGUCUGGUCAGGAGCCUGCAGCGCCUCUGACCAGAAGUCCCUGCAGAGGGUGGUGAGGUCAGUGAAGAAAAUCACCAGGAGCUCUCUUCCUCGCAUCCAGGACGUUGGUAAAAAACGCUGCCUGACCAGGGCUCACGCCAUCAGGAGUGACACCUCACACCCCCUCAUGGACUGUUUUUGCUGGUGGACUGCCAGAAAGAGGCUCCGCAGCCUUCGCAGCAGAACAGCCAGGUUCCACCACAGCUUCUUCCCUCUUUCCAUAAGACUGUUAAACACUGAAUAACAAUAACUUCACCCUCCCUCACACACCUACU